AUUGAACGCUGGCGGCAUGCCUUACACAUGCAAGUCGAACGGCAGCGGGGACUUCGGUCCGCCGGCGAGUGGCGAACGGGUGAGUAAUGUAUCGGAACGUACCUUUCAGUGGGGGAUAACGUAGCGAAAGUUACGCUAAUACCGCAUAUUCUCUGAGGAGGAAAGCAGGGGACCUUCGGGCCUUGUGCUGAUGGAGCGGCCGAUAUCAGAUUAGCUAGUUGGUGAGGUAAAGGCUCACCAAGGCGACGAUCUGUAGCGGGUCUGAGAGGAUGAUCCGCCACACUGGGACUGAGACACGGCCCAGACUCCUACGGGAGGCAGCAGUGGGGAAUUGUUCGCAAUGGGCGCAAGCCUGACGACGCAACGCCGCGUGGAGGAUGAAGAAUUUCGGUUCGUAAACUCCUUUCGAUCGGGACGAAUCGGUCACGGCCUAAUACGCCGUGGCAUUGACGGUACCGAGAGAAGAAGCCCCGACUAACUCCGUGCCAGCCGCCGCGGUAACAC
rnacentral:rRNA from 1 species